UACGACUACAUAUCAGGCAUAUCAAUAAGCGGAGGAAAAGAAACUAACAAGGAUUCCCUUAGUAACGGCGAGUGAAGCGGGAAGAGCUCAAAUUUGAAAUCUUCAAGGUUUUACCUUGACGAAUUGUAGUUUAAAGAAGUGUUUUCUGUCUGAAGUUUUGGUAAAAGUUCUUUGGAAUAGGACAUCAUAGAGGGUGAGAAUCCCGUAUUUGGUCAUUCCUCCUAGCUGUUGUGAUACACUUUCAACGAGUCGGAUUGUUUGGGAAUGCAGUCCAAAAUGGGUGGUAAAUUUCAUCUAAGGCUAAAUAUUGGCGAGAGACCGAUAGCGAACAAGUACCGUGAGGGAAAGAUGAAAAGAACUUUGAAAAGAGAGUUAAACAGUACGUGAAAUUGUCAAAAGGGAAGCGUUUGACACCAGUGUUGUUUUUCUCGAAAAUCAAUUACAAAUGGUUUGAUUUUGAGUAGUUAUGACCUUCAAUCGCUUUCUCACUUUCUUUACUGUAACUUUCUUAAUGCACUUUUCGUUUAACAAGUCAACAUCAGUUUCUUUUGUUGUAAAAGAGUCAUUGGAAGGUGGCUUUCAUUUCGGAGAAAGUGUUUAUAGCCUUGUGCCUCUGCAAUCGGAGAGAUUGAGGUCUGCAGCGUAGAUCCUUCGGGGUUAGAUACAUUUGUGCUAAGUUAUAGCUUUUUCAUAGACAACAUUGUUGAUUAUGAUUUAAUCAUUGUAGCUUACUCGCUUAUGCUAUUUUACCUACGCUUAGGAUGUUGAACGCGCACAGAGUCUC
rnacentral:rRNA from 1 species